rnacentral:tRNA from 1 species
GGUUAGAUAGUCAAUGAUGAUUUAAAAUUGCAAGUUUUAAGGUGAAUAUAGUUCUCUAACCU